UUUUUUUAAUCUUUUCUUUGAUAAACACUCGGAAUCUCAUCCUUUCACCAGCUUGAGGCCAAAGAAGAAAGAAUUAAAAAGAAUGUCCUGGAAACUAAGAAAACACUGAGAGCAGGAAGGAAACCGAGACAGCCACAGCCAUACUGAAUUUCUCAUAAGUGUUCGGAGGAGCUGCUGACCAUGCACAGGUGCAGCCCAAGUCACCAGAGCUCAUAAAGGAUGUGCAUGCUGUCACGUCUACGUGAAGUAUUUCCAUGACCUGACCAUGGACAGAGGGAGGGACUGAGCUAGAGGAAGCUUCAUCAAGGAGCCAUGCUCCCACACAUUCUUGGAUUUCCAAAGCCACGGUGGCAUCGACCAGGAGAGGAGCUUUUCUGAAGUCCAGGAAGCUGUUGCGAGGUGACAUCAUAGCCCCCAAGGCCCACUGAGCAGAAUCUGGCACCAAGUGAUGCUUCUAUCUGCCCAUCAUCUUACCCCUUAGACUCUGCCACCCAGUUGUAGAAGAUUCUGUUUGAGUGUGAAGAUAGAGUCAUGCAUCCUUUCUUCCUCCCAGAUCACCUAGGACUGGAGGGUGAGUGGUCACUGCAGCAUGCUCUAAUUCGAAAGUGCUAGAAGAUCAAAGAAGGAGGAGGAGAUCAACACAAAUUAAAACCAAAU
rnacentral:lncRNA from 1 species